GUAGGUGGCAAGCGUUGUCCGGAAUUAUUGGGCGUAAAGCGCGCGCAGGCGGUCCUUUAAGUCUGAUGUGAAAGCCCACGGCUCAACCGUGGAGGGUCAUUGGAAACUGGGGGACUUGAGUACAGAAGAGGAAAGCGGAAUUCCAAGUGUAGCGGUGAAAUGCGUAGAGAUUUGGAGGAACACCAGUGGCGAAGGCGGCUUUCUGGUCUGUAACUGACGCUGAGGCGCGAAAGCGUGGGGAGCAAACAGGGAUUAGAUACCCUGGUAGUCCACGCCGUAAACGAUGAGUGCUAAGUGUUAGGGGGGUUUCCCGCCCCUUAGUGCUGCAGCUAACGCAUUAAGCACUCCGCCUGGGGAGUACGGCCCGCAAGGCUG
rnacentral:rRNA from 1 species